rnacentral:rRNA from 1 species
AGAGUUUGAUCCUGGCUCAGAACGAACGCUGGCGGCGUGCCUAACACAUGCAAGUCGUGCGAGAACAGGGGGGCAACUCCCUUAGUAAAGCGGCGCACGGGUGAGUAACACGUAGGUAACCUACCCUCGAGCCCGGGAUAACCUGCCGAAAGGUGGGCUAAUACCGGAUAUGACCACGGGAGUUUCGGCUCCUGCGGUGAAAGGUGGCCUCUGCUUGCAAGCUACUACUCGUGGAUGGGCCUGCGCGCCAUUAGCUAGUUGGCGGGGUAACGGCCCACCAAGGCUAUGAUGGCUAGCUGGUCUAAGAGGAUGGCCAGCCACACUGGGACUGACACACGGCCCAGACUCCUACGGGAGGCAGCAGUGGGGGAUAUUGCGCAAUGGGCGAAAGCCUGACGCAGCGACGCCGCGUGGGUGAUGAAGGCCUUCGGGUCGUAAAGCCCUGUCGAGGGGAAAGAAACGACUCCGACCCAACACGUCGGGGUCUUGACGGUACCCCUAAAGGAAGCACCGGCUAACUCCGUGCCAGCAGCCGCGGUAAUACGGAGGGUGCUAGCGUUGUUCGGAAUUACUGGGCGUAAAGCGCGUGUAGGCGGUCCGCUAAGUCUGAUGUGAAAGCCCGGGGCUCACCCCCGGAAGGGCAUUGGAAACUGGCGAACUCGAGUCCCGGAGAGGAGAGUGGAAUUCCUGGUGUAGCGGUGAAAUGCGUAGAUAUCAGGAGGAACACCGGUGGCGAAGGCGGCUCUCUGGACGGUGACUGACGCUGAGACGCGAAAGCGUGGGGAGCAAACAGGAUUAGAUACCCUGGUAGUCCACGCUGUAAACGAUGAGCACUAGGUGUCGCGGGUAUUGACCCCUGCGGUGCCGCAGCUAACGCAUUAAGUGCUCCGCCUGGGGACUACGGCCGCAAGGUUAAAACUCAAAGGAAUUGACGG